rnacentral:snRNA from 1 species
CUGUUUACUAACAUAUAUACUAAAAUUAGAAUGAUACAAAGAAGAUUAGCAUGGCUCCUGCACAAGAAUAACAUGGAAAUUCAUGAAGAGUUCAAUUUAGAA